UACGUAGGGUGCGAGCGUUGUCCGGAAUUAUUGGGCGUAAAGAGCUCGUAGGCGGUGUGUCACGUCGGCCGUGAAAACCUGCAGCUUAACUGUGGCGUGCGGUCGAUACGGGCAUCACUGGAGUUCGGCAGGGGAGACUGGAAUUCCUGGUGUAGCGGUGAAAUGCGCAGAUAUCAGGAGGAACACCGGUGGCGAAGGCGGGUCUCUGGGCCGAUACUGACGCUGAGGAGCGAAAGCGUGGGGAGCAAACAGG
rnacentral:rRNA from 1 species